rnacentral:rRNA from 1 species
CCUACGGGAGGCUGCAGUGGGGAAUAUUGGACAAUGGGGGGAACCCUGAUCCAGCGACGCCGCGUGAGUGAAGAAGUAUUUCGGUAUGUUAAGCUCCAUCAGUAGGGAAGAAAAUGACGGUACCUGACCAAGAAGCCCCGGCUAACUACGUGCCAGCAGCCGCGGCAAUACGGAGGGGGCAAGCGUUAUUCGGAUUUACUGGGUGUAAAGGGAGCGUAGACGGUGCAGCAAGUCUGAUGUGAAAGGUCGGGGCCCAACCCCGGGACUGCAUUGGAAACUGUUGAACUGGAGUACAGGAGAGGGAAGCGGAAUGCCUAGUGUAGCGGUGAAAUGCGUAGAUAUUGAGAGGAACACCAGUGGCGAAGGCGGCUUACUGGACUGUAACUGACGUUGAGGCUCGAAAGCGUGGGGAGCGAACAGGAUUAGAUACCCGAGUAGUC